GCGGUUAUACGAGAGGCCCAAGUUGAUAUUCUUCGGCGUAAAGAGUGGUUAUGGAAUAAAUUAACUAAAGCCGUACCCCUUCACAGCUGUUAUACGCAUAUGAAGGGCAGAAGCCCUAUCACGAAAGUGGCUUUAUUAACCCUGACCCCACGAAAGCUAUGGCA
rnacentral:rRNA from 1 species